rnacentral:lncRNA from 1 species
UUCCAGCUAUCAGCUGUCUGUGGGGUGGAAUAUUGAAGACCCUGAAGCCGCUUCAUCAAGAGUCUUCUGUGCGUGCCUCUCCUCAGGUUUUUGAGAAUGAACUCUCUGGGAGUCCCUUGAAGCCUCUUCCCCCUCUGUGGACCUCAGUGGCUGCUCUUCCUCCUCGCAUGGCAGCCACUGCCAUUUGCAGAGUGCUCACUGGCUGCGAGGUACCUAGCCAACCUUCCUCUGUAGCCCAAGGGGGAGGAUCCAGGCUUGGGGGUGGACCCUGCACUCUCAACCCCACCCCUUAGCUUUGAAUUCCAGCUCAGUCUCCAAGCAGCUGAGUGACUGGAGGAGAAGGUAAACAGCUUCACCUCUUGGAACCUCAGCUGCCUCACCCCCUGUGGACCUCCCAAACACACCCAGGGGGUGAAUGAAGUGUGAAGAGCCAGACCUGGUGGGUGGGGGUGCACUGCCUGGGAGCUUCAACUAGCACAGGUUGAACCCCAGCCAGGGCUGGUGAGUCCUAAAUGGGAGGGCAGCCCUUUGUGGGGCCUGAGGGCCAGGCAAGGACGCCAAUCCAAUUGCUACUUUCUAUAUGACCUUGGAUGAGGAUUAAAUGAGUUAAUAGAAAUCAAGCACCUGUAGACAAUGUCUGGCACCAAGUGCUGCAUUAAGUUAAUAUGUCCAGACUUUCAGUCUCAGACUUGGUUCUUCCCUCUAUAACCUGUGACCCUCAUUGGCUCUACUGGUCACUGCUUCUGCAGCCACACCUGCUUGUCAGAGACCCCCAAUCUCUCCCGACUCCCAAUCAGCAAACUAUCAACCCUCCGUUUUGAGUUGGGGUCCUCUCCUCUCUGGGGCCACUAGUCUUGGGGCCCAGCAGCCUGCUGGGUAACUCAUUCCUCACUGCCUUUUCCCAAUCCUGCCCUCCUUGUCAUCUGCUGUACCACGUGCACAGUACAGGGAUCCAGAAAAGGAGGCUGGUUGCCAAGGCAACAGAGGAUAAAGCCCUUGCUCUGCCAGGCUGCUGAUUGGCUAAGACAGGUCCCACCUCCUGCCAUUCUGAGAGUGGGGAGUAGAGAGAAGGGUCUCAGAUGGGCAGGGAGAGGUACCAGUGUGCUAAGCCAGCUGAGGACUGCCCCCACUUGGCCCACUCAGAGCCGGAGAAGCUCUGUCUCCCAAGGGGGGCGUUGGCUUCGCCCUAUCUCUGCCUCCAGCACCCAGAGCGGCCACAGAUGGCAGUGUCCCUGGGGACAGCAGCUGCGACUGAGUCUACAGGCCGAUGCUGAGCUGCUCAGGCCGAGGCCGUGUGCUCAGCAUAGAGCCCCCUGGAACAGGCAACCGCAGGGCGUGAGGUGGG